UUUAAGUUUGCCCCCCCGAAACUAAGUGAGCUACUUAAGAAUAGCUUCCUAGAGCCAACCCCUCUCUGUCGCAAAAGAGUGGGACAAUUUUUAAGUAGAGGCGAUAAACCAACCGAACUCAGAGAUAGCUGGUUUUUUAAGAAAUGAAUUUUAGUUCAGCCCUAAGCCUCAAAACUAAACAGAAAGUUUACUUAGACUUAGGAGUUAUUCAGAUAAGGCACAGCUUAUCUGAAACAGGAUACAACCUGCAUUAUUGGGUAAGAUAUUGAAUUGAGAUUAAGUAGGCCUAAAAGCAGCCACCUUUAAAAUAGCGUCAAAGCUUAAUUUGAUAAUUUUAUUAAUUUCCUAAACUACCUCUAACCCAUUUUUUCUAUUAAAAAACUCCAUAAAACUAUGGAAAUUAUUAUGCUAG
rnacentral:rRNA from 1 species